rnacentral:lncRNA from 1 species
AUUGAUUGUUUCCUUUGCUGAUAAGCAGCUUUUUAGUCUGAAUCCAUCCUAUUUAUUUAUUCUUGAUUUUGCUUCUUCUGCUUUAGGAGUCUUGUUGAGGAAGUCAGUUCCUAAGCUGACGUGGUGAAGAUCUGGGCCUCCUUUUUCUUCUAUUAGGCACAGGGUCUCUGUUCUAGUGUCUGAGUCUUUCAUCCACUUUGAGUUGAGUUUUGUGCAUGGUGAGAGAUAGAGGUUUAAUUUCAUUUUGCUACAUUUGGAUUUACAGUUUUCCCAGCACCAUUUGUUGAAGAGGCUGUCUUUUCUCUAAUGUAUGUUUUUGGCACCCUUGUCUAGUAUGAGAUAACCGUAUUUAUGUGGGUUUGUCUCUGUGUCUUCUAUUCUGUACCACUGAUCUACAUGUCUAUUUUGGUGCCAGUACCAUGCCAUUUUGGUUACUAUUGCUCUGUAGUAUAAUUUAAGGGUCUGGUAUUGUGAUGCCCCCUGCUUCACUCUUCUUGGUAAGGAUCGCCUUGGCUGAGGUAGUGCACCAUGAUCAAGGGGGGUUCUUCCCAGAGAUGCAAGGUCGGUUCAAAAUAUGGAAAUCAAUAAACAUAAUUCAUCAUAUCAAUAGACUUAAAGAUAAGAAUCAUAUGAUCAUCUCAAAAGAUGCAUAAAAAGCAUUUGAAAAAAUACAGCACCUCCUCAUAUUCAAAACACCAGAAAAACUAGGGAUAGUAGGAACAAACCUCAACAUUGUAAAAGCUAUGUAUGCUAAACCCAAGGCCAGCAUCAUUUUAAAUGGAGAAAAAUUGAAAGCAUUCCCUCUAAAAACUGGAACAAGACAGGAUGCCCUCUUUCACCACUUUUAUUCAACAUAGUCCUGAAAAUCUAGCCAGAGCAAUUAGACAGAUGAAAGAAAUUAAAGGGAUACAGAUAGGAAAAGAAGAACUCAAGCUAUCACUAUUUGCAGGCAACAUGCUUCUAUAUUUAGAAAAAUCCAAAAAAUUCUACCAGAAAAUUCUAUAACUAAUAGAAGAAUUUAGCAAAGUAGCAGAAUAUAAAAUCAAUACCUAUAGACCAAAUGCAUUUAUACACAUCAGUGAUGACUCCACUGAAAGAGAAAUUAGAAAGACUAUCUUAUUCACAAUAGCCUCAAAAAAUACUUGGGAAUCAAUCUGACAAAAGAGUUAAAGACCUCUAUAAUAAAAACUACAGAACACUAAAGAAAGAAAUUGAAGAAGCCCUCAGAAGAUGGAGAGAUCUCCCAGCUCCUGGAUAGGCAGAAUUAAUAUUGUCAAAUGGCCGUACUACCAG